rnacentral:rRNA from 1 species
GUGUCAGCAGCCGCGGUAAUACAGAGGUCCCAAGCGUUGUUCGGAUUCACUGGGCGUAAAGGGUGCGUAGGCGGUCGGGUAAGUCUGACGUGAAAUCUCCAAGCUCAACUUGGAAAUGGCGUCGGAUACUAUUCGGCUCGAGGAAUGGAGGGGAGACUGGAAUUCUCGGUGUAGCAGUGAAAUGCGUAGAUAUCGAGAGGAACACCAGUGGCGAAGGCGAGUCUCUGGACAUUUCCUGACGCUGAGGCACGAAAGCCAGGGGAGCAAACGGGAUUAGAUACCCGCGUAGUCC